CCUCUACAGGACCCUGUGAUUGCCAGUUGGAACUUCAGUUUUAUGACAGUCAAUAUCUUUUCUAGUUUGUUUCUCCUAUUUUGGGCUUACCCAGUUAUCAGGCUUAGGCGUUGGCAGUGAAGAAUUUCUUAUCAGAGCCUGAGGAUUCCAAAGUAGAUUGAAGACCAACAUCUCUCCACGAAUCCUCCAAGCCUUCAGUGCCAUUUUGAGACUCCUGGGACAUUCAGCCUCAUGAACUGAUGAGCUACUGGAAUCUCUGUCUCUAGUGUGAGACUUCGUUGGACAUGACCAACGCUUAUAAGCCAACAUAAUAAAACCCCUUUGAACAUAUUGGAUCAUUCUACUAGUUCUGUUCAUAAUAUAGAUGGCUCAUUCUAUCAGUACUGUUUUCUGAGAGAACUGUGACUAAUUAGUAACCUUUCUUCCAUUUCUAGAAUAUUCCAUUCUAAAAACAAUCUCUUUAUGGAUGCCUUAUUAAUUAAAACUGUCAUUUCUAUUUUC